rnacentral:rRNA from 1 species
AUUGAACGCUGGCGGCAGGCCUAACACAUGCAAGUCGAGCGCGAAAGCACUUCGGUGUGAGUAGAGCGGCGGACGGGUGAGUAACGCGUAGGAAUCUACCUAGUAGUGGGGGACAACUCGGGGAAACUCGAGCUAAUACCGCAUAAGCCCUACGGGGGAAAGCGGGGGACCUUCGGGCCUCGUGCUAUUAGAUGAGCCUGCGUUGGAUUAGCUAGUUGGUGGGGUAAAGGCCUACCAAGGCGACGAUCCAUAGCUGGUCUGAGAGGAUGAUCACCCACACCGGGACUGAGACACGGCCCGGACUCCUACGGGAGGCAGCAGUGGGGAAUAUUGCGCAAUGGGCGAAAGCCUGACGCAGCCAUGCCGCGUGUGUGAAGAAGGCCUUCGGGUUGUAAAGCACCUUCAAUUGGGAGGAAAGGUUCACGGUUAAUAACCGUGAGCUGUGACGUUACCUUUAGAAGAAGCACCGGCUAACUCCGUGCCAGCAGCCGCGGUAAUACGGAGGGUGCGAGCGUUAAU